rnacentral:rRNA from 1 species
UACGGGGGGGGCAAGCGUUGUUCGGAAUUACUGGGCGUAAAGGGCUCGUAGGCGGCCAACUAAGUCAGACGUGAAAUCCCUCGGCUUAACCGGGGAACUGCGUCUGAUACUGGAUGGCUUGAGUUUGGGAGAGGGAUGCGGAACUCCAGGUGUAGCGGUGAAAUGCGUAGAUAUCUGGAGGAACACCGGUGGCGAAGGCGGCAUCCUGGACCAACACUGACGCUGAUGAGCGAAAGCCAGGGGAGCAAACGGG